CCUGAAACAGGGUUCAAGGCUUCAACACACCUCAGUUCUAUGCUGGUUUGAAUCACACAUCCUCCCAGGCACCCCAGGGAUUCAAGGCCCUCUGUGGGUUUGAGGAGUAACAGUGACAGAGAAGAGAAUGAGGGGUAUAAAAAACACUGCACACAGAGUAGGAGCCUGUGCCUGUGGACAGCUCAAGGAAGAGAAGGCAAAGCUGCCCAAGGUUUCACCAGUGUCCUCCUUCAAACGUGGCCUGAGCAUGGCAAUAUCAUGGAGCUCCUUUUUCUGAGAAGACAUUAGUUUUCACUCUACUUGGAAUGCUUAAUAAAAAC